CAGUACAGUACAAGGAGGAGUUACCUCUCCUGUGACUCCACGCGGUCGUACAUGUGUAGGUGUAUGUGUGGAUCUACCCGUCGUAGGUCGUGAUGUCCGGGCGUACCCACAGCAAAUGGCGAACGGGAGCUUUAAUGCGUUCCACUUGUGUUACUCUGAGCCGCCGCUGCAGAUCAUUUCUCUCUGUUACCCUUUGGCUUGAGGGUAGCAGCGACACGUCCAUCCUGGAGAGAGGGAAGAAAGGAACUCCUGAAGGGAAGAUAUCACUCAAAGUCCCAAUGGAGGCUCAUGUUUGUUUGUAUGUUUACAACUCCCCCCCCCCCCCCUCCCCCCCUUCCCACCCAGGGCGUGGUGACUGACUCUCCCCCCAGUCCGUGGCUCCAUCGUCACAGGAAGUGGCGGCGCAGCAGCAACAGAUCCAGGUGGACGGCACCAACGACCACGUUACCGCCUACUCCUACCAGUCUAAAUAACAGCAGCCUGUGAGAAUAUUCCUGCGACAGCGUUGCCUUGAGGCAGGAGGUGGGCUGCACUGAAAGUGAGCGAAGAAGAUAAAAAAGGAAAGAGAUUGCUUCCAGAUUGCCCAGACACCAAAAAAAAAAUGACACUUUUUUUUCAUUUCCUACCUGGUCUAUGAGCGAAGAGAAAAAAAAAAGAAAAGAGAAAGCGAGCAAAGGCAAGAGAGGAAAAUGAGUGAGGGAGCGGUGGAAGAUUACUGGGCACAGUGCAAAGGAGUGGAAUGGUUUUGUCUGGGAACCAGCCCGAAGGGGCUGAGGCUGAAAAGUUUCUCAAAGAAAAUUCUCUGAUGAUAAAAAAAAAUAAAAAAGCUUAGAAAAAAAAAUACAUUUAACACAAAAAUCUCAAAAAAAAUAUGUUGACUGCGCAGGUAGGCGACAAGGUUUAUUUUGUAAUUAGAAAAAAAAAGGGGAAGUCCUGUUUCCGAUACACACAGAGAUUGUCUUCCUCAGAUAUUAAGCUAUUUCUUUUCACUCUUUUUAUGUUGUAGUGUUACAUUUAGUUUUUCUAGAUGAAAACAAGUGUUGAUUUUUUUUUCUUAUGUAUUCUUUGGUUUUUCCGUUUUCUCAAAUCUUCAUGGCCUUAAUUUGAAGGGCGCCAGAAACUUUUUUACAGAGUUUGACGUCUUGGUUGGAAACAAAAAAAAGAAAAAAAAAGCGAACAAACUCAGUCCCUUGUCAGCCCGAUGGGUGCAAGGAGCUAGAGGUCCACAGUGGAGGUUGAAAAAACAAACAGAAUCUAUCACAUAAGCUGUACAGAUUUAAUAGAGAAGAAGAGUUUUUUUCUUUCUUUGUUUCUUCGUUGGAAGAAAACUUUGAUAAUAAUUAUGUCAGAGUUAACUAAAUGUCAGAAGAAAAUCUAAAUGUCUGUUGGGAUGGGUGUUGGGGUGGGUAUGUUGGGGGCCUGGGUGGGUGGGGUAAAGCUUUGAAGAGAUUUUUCACAAUGAGGGAAAAAAAAGAAAAUAUAGGAGUGCAAAUGUGCUGCAUUGUAGAGGAUGCGGUUUGAUCUGCAAACGCUGAAUGCUUUUUUUUAAAUUGUCAUCAUUAUUAUUUUACAUGGCAAGGUUGCUGUCAUUGAUAUUAGCGCUUUUAUCUGCGACAUUUUAUCUUUUUUUAUGAGCUUUAAGAUGUUUUUUAGUCCGCUUUGCUUGUCUCACUGCAAACAGAAAAAAAAGAGAGUUAAAGAAUUAAAAAAAAAAUGAACAUACAAACAAAAAAGCUAUGGAAAAAAAGUCUGGCAGUAAAAAACAAAAACAAAACAAAAAUAGUAGAUAAAGUAGGAGCUUACAGUUUAAAAACCAAUCAGCGCAAAAGCAAUAGAAAGAAAUUGUUGACAAUUUCUGUAGUCUUUCCUAGUUGUGGAUCCAAUGCAGCCCAAGGAUGGCCAUUUUUAUACCAAAGAUGAAGAGACACUCUGAACAGAGUUUAGUUUUUUCUUCUUUCUUUCCUUUUAGUUUGAUUUUGUUGUUGUUGAUGUUGUUGAUGUUGUUAAUGUUAAUGUUGAUAUUGUUGUUGCCGUUGCUAUUGUUGUCGUUGUUGUUUUUGAGUUGACAUUGAUGGCCGGACCAGUCCUUACUAUCCUCUUUAACAUUUACAUAUUUUUCUUUGGUUUUUUACAGUUUUCAAGCAAAUUUCGAAAGUUUUCCGAACAAUCACCUCACCAAACACACACACACACACACACACACAGACACACACACACACACACACACACACACACACACAGACACACACACACACACACACACACAGACACACACACACACACACACACACACACACACACACACAUAACCUCAACAGUAUUUGAAUGUGUGAUCAACCAGUUGCAGUUAACCAAACGUCCUUUAUUUUUUUCCCACGUCCAUUUUGCAUAGAUUACGACACUUGCUACACACACCAUGGGUGUUACGCCUCUACCUGUUAGAACCCGUCAUUGUCUCAACAUCGGGCUAUCAACACACAAGAACACUGAUUCAUAAACGCUAAUGGGCCGAUGACCUGUGGCUCUGUGCUGGCGCCGUAUGUCCUGUAUCGUUCGUAGAAUAAAACCGAUCUAGCUAG